CUGUUAACUGCAUUGUUAAUAAAUAACAUUCUCCCAGGAUGUCGAUGUUCAAAAGUUUACCCACAGGCCAAAGUUUCGCAGAGAUCAUUUACCUUUCUGAGACUUACUCUGAGAUGACAAGUGCGUAGAAUUUUUUUAAAACUGAGAUACCCCACCCGAACUGAUACGGGUGAACUAGGUGCCAUGUACUUGUGUGUUGUGACACACGAGUGCCUUGACUGUCGCGUCCCUUUUUCAUGAUGAUGAGAACAGCCACCUGUUCACUCCACCCACCUCUGGGCGCCUGGCCACAGGGCUCAUGAGCAGAGAGACGGGACCAGUCACCAGCCUGCCUCACUGGGCAGAGGUUGUCAGCGGCUUUGUCUAUCCCCCAGCCCCCCUGCUCCAUCCUUAGGUAAGAUCCCCUCUGCAGCCUGUGGGUAGUCGCUGUUUC
rnacentral:lncRNA from 1 species